GCCACCGUGGCUCAAUGGCAGAGCAGCUGACUUGUAAUCAGCAGGUUGGGGGUUCAAUUCCCCUCGGUGGCU
rnacentral:tRNA from 1 species